rnacentral:lncRNA from 1 species
GCACUUUCCCCGCCUGCAUCUGAGGCGUGGCGCAGCUGGGAGCAAAGCACAGUUAUCCUGGAUCCUAUCUUUGGUACCAAUGUGACCCAUCCUGAGUGAAGGGACAGAGAGGAGUCCUGGGAGGCGGCUCAUCAUUGCUGAAGAUCAAGGCUUGGAGGAGCUACUGGACUUGGAGGUGCAGUCCCGAUGCCUGGAGUCCAUUCUUGCUGUUCUUGCUGAGAAGAUGUUAGAGCACCACAGGCUUGUUGGCCAAGGUCCUGGAAAGGUGAAUGCUGCCAUUUGCUUUAAGCUCCCCAAACUAUAUUGUUAAUAUAUGGAGGCUUUCACAUGUACCUCUUCCUUUUCUGGCUACUUUGGGUUAAGAUUCUUUAUAGUCUGUAUGAGUAAAGGCAAAUAAA